rnacentral:rRNA from 1 species
UCCUACGGGAGGCAGCAGUGGGGAAUAUUGGGCAAUGGGCGCAAGCCUGACCCAGCAACGCCGCGUGAAGGAAGAAGGCUUUCGGGUUGUAAACUUCUUUUCUGAGGGACGAAGAAAGUGACGGUACCUCAGGAAUAAGCCACGGCUAACUACGUGCCAGCAGCCGCGGUAAUACGUAGGUGGCAAGCGUUAUCCGGAUUUAUUGGGUGUAAAGGGCGUGUAGGCGGGAAAGCAAGUCAGAUUUGAAAUCUCAGGGCUCAACCCUGAGCCUUCCUUUGAAACUGUUUUUCUUGA